rnacentral:rRNA from 1 species
GAUGAACGCUGGCGGCGUGCCUAAUACAUGCAAGUCGAGCGAACAGACGAGGAGCUUGCUCCUCUGACGUUAGCGGCGGACGGGUGAGUAACACGUGGAUAACCUACCUAUAAGACUGGGAUAACUUCGGGAAACCGGAGCUAAUACCGGAUAAUAUAUUGAACCGCAUGGUUCAAUAGUGAAAGACGGUUUUGCUGUCACUUAUAGAUGGAUCCGCGCCGCAUUAGCUAGUUGGUAAGGUAACGGCUUACCAAGGCAACGAUGCGUAGCCGACCGGAGAGGGUGAUCGGCCACACUGGAACUUAGACACGGUCCAGACUCCUACGGGAGGCAGCAGUAGGGAAUCUUCCGCAAUGGGCGAAAGCCUGACGGAGCAACGCCGCGUGAGUGAUGAAGGUCUUCGGAUCGUAAAACUCUGUUAUUAGGGAAGAACAAAUGUGUAAGUAACUAUGCACGUCUUGACGGUACCUAAUCAGAAAGCCACGGCUAACUACGUG